GCCGGACAUCGAGGCUACGGAGGAGCUUUUGGGAGCUAGCAAACGUAGGUCCCUUGUGGUGUGACAGCCUACAUGGCGGAGUGUCCCCAAUUGCGUAGCAGGUCUUCAUCAAAUGGCAUCAGCGAACAGGCAACAUUGGGCGACCUAAGAAGAGCCCUAUGAAUGGAGCUGCAAACCACGCUCAAUUGAUCUGCCGGGCGUGUUCACCCUGGCGGGGUAUAUUCGGUUCUCUCAAACGCCGAUCACGCACGAGAGCAUUUCGAACGACGGAGAACGUGUUCCUGGAGGACCGGGUAUCAGACGACGCUGCGCAUCACAAAAAUGAACAUCCAGAGAUAGGGCCCACCUGACACCCCAACGUCUAUUGACUUUGAGGUACGGGAUCUCACAGGACGUUCAGGAGUUCACACGAUUGACCACUUUGUAGCCUUUCCGCGUCCCUCUUGAAGAGGCUGGGGUUGCUAUUGCAGUUCACGCAACCCGGUUCCUGGGGCAAGGCGGUCAAGUGUUCGUUAAUGGUGAUCCAUGCCUGAUCUCAGACCACGUACAUUUGGAGGCAGUGGCUCUCCGACCCCAUGUUCUCUAUGAGUGGAAUAUCCGCAUGCACGGGACAGUGGUCGAAAGGAAGUGGUCUCGGGAUCAAACAUCUGGUAUCCAGCGAUUGGUUCCUAUGCUUUUCCGUGAUAUACCGUUGGUACAUGGGGAAAGCGGGCGAAAGUGGCCUCGGUAUAGAGUUUUUGAUACCCCUUUCACACCGUCAUGCCGAUGUCGUUGGAGCCCUUGCAACCCAUACGGCGAAACUUGUAUAAGUAUAUGGAAAAGCAGAUAAAAACGGCAUGAAGUCAUAACACCUGGUGCCGAAACUGUUUUUAUGUACACAUUGGGAGCGUUGGUCUUGGGUUCUUCACAAUCGGGCAAUGACAAAUCUUUGAUGUAAAAUUGAGUUUACUUUGCAUAAUGGAUUGUAAAAGUAAAUGCA